GCCCUCCCCCGCCUCCAAAUUGCCUCAGUUACAAAUCAGAAGGCAGGCUUGGUGACCAGGACUGGCAAGCACAUUUUAAAGUCCCAUGCUGUGGAGUUGAUCCAUCUCAACUUGAGUCAGAAGAGGCAGAAGUGGAUGUGAGAGAAAGAGACACACAGAGAGACAGAGAGCCAAAGAGGGCAAGAGACUUGACUUUAAGAGACUCCUGUACUGACAACUCCAUGCAGUUCGGAACCAGAACGACUGCGGCUGGACCAGGGUUCAUGGGGACAUGGCAAAACGCUGAUACUAACCUCUUAUUCAGAAUGUCCCAACAGAUCAACAGAAGAGAUUCUUGGGUCGUAGAGACCAAAGAAAGAAUCAGCAGGAAUGCCCAGGGUGAAUGAUGGAUUGCAGAGCCUGGCUGAACUCAACAAAAAUCCAGUGGGAGGCUUUUCAGCAGGUUUAAUAGAAGACAAUGAUCUCUAUCGUUGGGAAGUCCUUAUUAUUGGUCCUCCAGAUACACUUUAUGAAGGUGGUGUUUUUAAGGCUUAUCUCAUUUUCCCAAAAGAUUAUCCCCUCCGGCCUCCUAAAACGAAAUUCAUUACAGAUAUUUGGCCCCCAAAUGGCAAGCUUCCUCUGAUUUGGAACAAAAUAAAAACAGGCUGGUCUUCCCUUGUACCUGACACAGGCAAAUUGAGCUGGCCCAGACAGCAGAGCUCUGAAAAACAGUGGCUCUGUCAGCAACCAUGGCACAGGAAGGUCACCUUUUCAUCCUGGUGCUAACAUCCAGCUGGAGUGGCAGUAUUACCAAAAUAAAAUCCUGAAAGGAGAAGCAGGUACACAUGAGUGUUUAAAAGCCAUGACAGGAAAACUCGAAGAUCUCAGGGAAGUCUGUUUUUUGAAGUGUUCAGGAACGAGAGGUGUUUUAUUAUCUUUAGUGUGAUGUUUUCUACCAUUUUUGUACGAGGAGUUUUUCCUGUGUUGAAUUUUGGUUCUUAAGUUGGAAAGUAAAGCAACCUAGUAAUAUUCUU